CAGCGACAAGGAAACGUCCUGUCCUCGGACCAAAGGAUGAUGGCUCCACAGCAGUUGCUGCUUGUCUAAGAUAACAGAGAGGACGAAGAUGACCUUAGCAAGGCUACUGCUGAAGCUACUGACACAAGGAGUAGUCCAUGCAGCCCCAAAUAAUAUUUCAACACGACCCAUAUCCUGUCUUGUGCGCCGAGUACCCGCUAGACGAAGUUGAGUAGAUACUGUAAAAAUAAACAAAACAUAUGUAAAAUUACAGUUUUCUUGUACUGACUAGAAUCACAAUAAACGUGGUUAGUUCAUAACCCUUUUAUGUGCCUCUUUCUAUUUUUUUUUAUAGAUAAUUCUUAUGUUACCGUUCCAUAUUAUUUAUAUUUUCCAUGCUGAGAAGAAAUAAAGCGUUUAAAACUACAAUUGGUAAAUUAUGUUAAAUGAGCUUUACUAUAAGGACUACAAUAUGAAUGUGAGACACACUGGAAGCUUAUCUUAGAUUAUGUUAUUGUUACUGGUCAAGUAGACUCUUAUUUACACUAUGAAGCACAAAUUGGACUUCGAUAUCUCUCACUUACCUCUUGAUCACUUAGUGUUUUUUUUUUUUAGUUAAAUUUGUUGUUAUAAAGCUGUGCCUGAUCGUAUUGUCCAGCAAUGUGCACAACUGUCUUGCAAGGAAAGAAAACUGUAAAUUCUGCAUAAAGUGUUAUAAAUACAACUAAAACAGUCCUCACAGACAACGCAGGCAACACCGACAGCUUUACUUUGGCUGCAGAAGUCGUCAUUGUGCCACGUGUAUUUACACCCUGUCAGACUGGCUUCAGUACCCCGACACGUGUAGUUGUAUGGUGCAAUCUUGCCUGAACCUUCCCCGUACAUCGCAGAACUGACAACUAGUGCUUCAGGACUGAAAUAUAUUCCACCACAAUGCGCAAAUUGAUGCCACGGGUGGAGAUAUAAAACACACAUGGAAACGACUUAACAGGAAACAAAUAAAUCAAAACUGCAAAAGUCAGAAGAUUAAGGUUGCCAAUGAUAAGAAAAUAAAAUGUGCAAAUUACGAGCUGCUCCAUUUUCGUACUUAAAUAAUUAUCAUUCAAUAGUUCCAAUGCUUCGCAAAAGUUUAUUAACAAUAAUAAAAUCAAAUUAAGAAAAAAA